CACAACAAUUUGGCUGUCAAACCGAUCUUAGCACCUCGCAGCCAGACAUGCCGAGCUUGGCCGCAGUCCGAUGAGAGACGACUAUAGUCAUCUCGUCAUGGUCGUCUAGGCCCUGUAUCUCGGGCUCGCCUUCGUGUCUGCGUCCUUAGCCUCGGUCCCGUCGCUCGUUGCGCGUGCCUGCUGCGCUGGACCGCUGCGGCCAGGGGCCGGGCGCGAACAUAUGCGUCAAGAAGGAGGUGCUGUGUUCGUUCUCGACGGUCAAGUCCGUCAAGUACGAGCCGUACGUGACUCUCCAUCAGUUUCUCCGGCCAUUUUGCAUACGACUCGGCCUCCGUGGUUGGGAAGAUGGUGUCCCCAGGCAGGACGCACAUCCAUGGACACGGAUCCUCUGCAUUAACGACGGUUAAUACCUCUAGGGCACUAUUUGUACAGUAAAAUGAGUUUACUGUUACAGUCUAAUUAACCACUAAUUACUGCAGAAAUGAUAGUUCAACUAUUGUGCGGCCACUAUUGUAGUGUAGUAUUUACUGUAGCAAUCAAUCUCAUCCAUCAUCCUAUCGUGAAACUGACAGCUCUGAGUGGGUGCUAAUGCAGAAAACUAUUCACCCUCUACAUUAGCUCCUCUACUGCAGAGGAUGUCUGACAUG